CUUCCUAAGUUUUGUCUGAAACUUCUCCAAAACAAAAAUUUUUCGUUGAAAAUGUCUACAAAAUAUAUAUCUGAAUUCUUCCUGAAAGUUAACCAGGAAUGUCUAUCUAUAUCCUAACAUUUGUCAGUUGUAAGUUGUAUGCGUGUAAUCGAAGAUGUACUAAAAGAUAUCGGCUCAUGAGAGAAAAUAUAAUUGAGUUCAGUCGAACUUCAGCCGCAGUUGUAAGCGGAGGCUAUUUAUAUCGGUGUACUGUUUAUUACAGCAGAAGUGAGAAAACCCCUUAAAAGAAUUAUAAAUCAAAAAUAAGUCUAAUCAGCAAGAUAAAAAAGUGGCGACGAGAAGUGAAACGGAUCCACGGAUAAUCAGCUCAGACGGAAAGUUUCCAGGGUGAGCUUGGUUCUCGAUCUGUAUUCAAAGUCAUUACGCUUUGUUCGCUAAUAAAUAGGAGACGACUAUCAACGCCGAACAAUAUUGAAAGGAUCGAUAGCGAGAAGAAGGCUGACGGUCGUAUACAGCAAGAGCGUGAGUGAUCAUCCCGAACAGUGAGAAGGCCAAACCACCGAGAACAGCAAAAGCGUGAGAGAUCACCUAGAGCAGGGAGAAGGCCAAACCGCCGUAAACAUCAAGAGCGUGAGUGACCAUCUAGACCAACUGAGUCGUGGGAAGAAGUCAGACGAUCGAGAAAAUCGUUGAGGCUUAGUGCAUGAGCGAGCAUCAGCGAGCGAGAAGUUAAUCAUCAGGGCGUGAGCAGUGCAUGUGGAACACCGAACGAAGAUUUGCAUGAUCGUUUGGAUU